rnacentral:sRNA from 1 species
CGCCUUUUUGCUAUCCGCAGUUUUCAACGACCCGAACCUGCUGCAGGUUCGGGUCGAACGCAGUGAGACAACGGAGUCGCCUGCGGUGACGGCCCGUAUGGCGAGCGCAGCGAGUCAUCCUGCACGACCCAUCA